rnacentral:rRNA from 1 species
AACGGGUGAGUAACGCGUGAGGAACCUGCCUCAAANAGGGGGACAACAGUUGGAAACGACUGCUAAUACCGCAUAAGCCCACGGGUCGGCAUCGACCAGAGGGAAAAGGAGCAAUCCGCUUUGAGAUGGCCUCGCGUCUGAUUAGCUAGUUGGUGAGGUAAUGGCCCACCAAGGCGACGAUCGGUAGCCGGACUGAGAGGUUGAACGGCCACAUUGGGACUGAGACACGGCCCAGACUCCUACGGGAGGCAGCAUG